GACGAACGCUGGCGGCGUGCUUAACACAUGCAAGUCGAGCGGAGCGGCGGACGGGUGCGUAAUGCCUAGGAAUCUGCCCGGUCGUGGGGGAUAACGUCCGGAAACGGGCGCUAAUACCGCAUACUAUCAGAUGAGCCUAGGGCGGAUUAGCUAGUUGGUGGGGUAAAGGCUUACCAAGGCGCCGAUCCGUAACUGGUCUGAGAGGAUGAUCAGUCACACUGGAACUGAGAAACGGUCCAUACUCCUACGGGAGGCAGCAGUGGGGAAUAUGGGCAAAUGGGCGAAAGCCUGAUCCAGCCAUGCCGCGUGUGUGAAGAAGGUCUUCGGAUUGUAAAGCACUUUAAGUUGGGAGGCGUUACCAACAGAAUAAGCACCGGCUAACUUCGUGCCAGCCGCCGCGGUAAUAC
rnacentral:rRNA from 1 species